rnacentral:rRNA from 1 species
GACGAACGCUGGCGGCGUGCUUAACACAUGCAAGUCGAACGGAAAAGCACUGCUUUUGUGGGGUGCUCGAGUGGCGAACGGGUGAGUAAAACGUGAGUAAACUGUCCUCGACUCUGGGAUAACUUCGGGGAAAUGGGGCUCUUACCGGAUAGGAGCUGCGGCUGGAUGGUGGGGGCUGGAAAGUUUCGUCGGUGGGGGCUUGGCUCGCGGCUUCUCAGCUUGUUGGUGGGGUAGUGGCUUACCAAGGCUUUGACGGGUAGCCGGCCUGAGAGGGUGACCGGCCACACUGGGACUGAGACACGGCCCAGACUCCUACGGGAGGCAGCAGUGGGGAAUAUUGCACAAUGGGCGGAAGCCUGAUGCAGCAACGCCGCGUGCGGGAUGACGGCCUUCGGGUUGUAAACCUCUUUCGCCUGGGACGAAGCGAGAGUGACGGUAAUUGGUGAAGAAGCACCGGCUAACUACGUG